GAUGAACGCUGGCGGCGUGCCUAAUACAUGCAAGUAGAACGCUGAAGGAAGGAGCUUGCUCUUUCCGGAUGAGUUGCGAACGGGUGAGUAACGCGUAGGUAACCUGCCUGGUAGCGGGGGAUAACUAUUGGAAACGAUAGCUAAUACCGCAUAACAGUAGAUGUUGCAUGAUAUCUACUUAAAAGGUGCAAUUGCACCACUACCAGAUGGACCUGCGUUGUAUUAGCUAGUUGGUGAGGUAACGGCUCACCAAGGCGACGAUACAUAGCCGACCUGAGAGGGUGAUCGGCCACACUGGGACUGAGACACGGCCCAGACUCCUACGGGAGGCAGCAGUAGGGAAUCUUCGGCAAUAGACGGAAGUCUGACCGAGCAACGCCGCGUGAGUGAAGAAGGUUUUCGGAUCGUAAAGCUCUGUUGUAAGAGAAGAACGAGUGUGAGAGUGGAAAGUUCACACUGUGACGGUAUCUUACCAGAAAGGGACGGCUAACUACGUG
rnacentral:rRNA from 1 species